rnacentral:rRNA from 1 species
AGCGAACGUUAGCGGCGGGCCUAACACAUGCAAGUCGAACGCGAAAGGUCUUCGGACUGAGUAGAGUGGCGCACGGGUGAGUAACACGUAGGUAAUCUACCCUUUGGCGGGGGAUAACGUUCCGAAAGGAGCGCUAAUACCGCAUAAGACCACGGAGUCUCCGGACGCUGUGGGAAAAGGUGGCCUCUUCUUGAAAGCUACCACCGAAGGAUGAGCCUGCGUCCCAUCAGCUAGUUGGUAAGGUAAUGGCUUACCAAGGCGAAGACGGGUAGCUGGUUUGAGAGAAUGAUCAGCCACACUGGCACUGGAACACGGGCCAGACUCCUACGGGAGGCAGCAGUGAGGAAUAUUGGGCAAUGGGCGAAAGCCUGACCCAGCUACGCCGCGUGAGUGAUGAAGGCCCUCGGGUCGUAAAGCUCUGUGGAGAGGGACGAAAACCCUGGUUUCAAAUAGGCUCCAGGCUUGACGGUACCUCUUUAGCAAGCACCGGCUAACUCUGUGCCAGCAG